rnacentral:rRNA from 1 species
AAUAGAUACCCGGGUAGUCCACCCCGUAAACGUUGGGAACUAGUUGUGGGGUCCUUUCCACGGAUUCCGUGACGCAGCUAACGCAUUAAGUUCCCCGCCUGGGGAGUACGGCCGCAAGGCUAAAACUCAAAGGAAUUGACGGGGACCCGCACAAGCGGCGGAGCAUGCGGAUUAAUUCGAUGCAACGCGAAGAACCUUACCAAGGCUUGACAUACACGAGAACACCCUAGAAAUAGGGGACUCUUUGGACACUCGUGAACAGGUGGUGCAUGGUUGUCGUCAGCUCGUGUCGUGAGAUGUUGGGUUAAGUCCCGCAACGAGCGCAACCCUCGUUCUAUGUUGCCAGCACGUAAUGGUGGGAACUCAUGGGAUACUGCCGGGGUCAACUCGGAGGAAGGUGGGGAUGACGUCAAAUCAUCAUGCCCCUUAUGUCUUGGGCUUCACGCAUGCUACAAUGGCCGGUACAAAGGGCUGCAAUACCGUGAGGUGGAGCGAAUCCCAAAAAGCCGGUCCCAGUUCGGAUUGAGGUCUGCAACUCGACCUCAUGGAAC